UACGGAGGGUGCAAGCGUUAUCCGGAUUCACUGGGUUUAAAGGGCGCGUAGGCGGGCUGUCAAGUCUGGGGUGAAAUCCCACGGCUCAACCGUGGAACUGCCUUAGAUACUGACGGCCUCGAGGGAGAUAGGGGCGAGCGGAACUGUGAGUGGAGCGGUGAAAUGCGUUGAUAUUCACAGGAACUCCGGUGGCGAAGGCGGCUCGCUGGAUCUUUUCUGACGCUGAGGCGCGAAAGCUAGGGGGAGCAAACGGG
rnacentral:rRNA from 1 species